CAAUAGCGUAUAUUAACGUUGUUGCAGUUAAAAAGCUCGUAGUUGGAUUUCUGGAGGGAGCGUCGGCCCGUAUUUACGAGUGCGUGACGUCUCUGUCCAUCCUUGCGGGAAGGCACGGCAUUGAUUUGUUGUGUCGGAUCGCAUCAUUUACUGUGAAAAAAUUAGAGUGUUCAAAGCAGGCUUUCGCUUGAAUACAUUAGCAUGGAAUAAUAAGAUAGGACUUUGGUGCUAUUUUGUUGGUUGAGCCUAAAGUAAUGAUUAAUAGAGAUAGUUGGGGGCACCUGUAUUGCGUUGUCAGAGGUGAAAUUCUUGGAUUUACGCAAGACAAACAGCUGCGAAAGCGUCUGCCAAGGAUGUUUUCAUUAA
rnacentral:rRNA from 1 species